rnacentral:hammerhead_ribozyme from 1 species
GUCCAGCUGACGAGUCACGAAUAGGACGAAACGCGAGUUUUGGAU